rnacentral:rRNA from 1 species
UACGUAGGGGGCUAGCGUUGUCCGGAUUUAUUGGGCGUAAAGAGCGUGUAGGCGGCCAGAUAGGUCUGCUGUGAAAACUCGAGGCUCAACCUCGAGAUGUCGGCGGAAACCAUUUGGCUAGAGUCCGGAAGAGGAAAGUGGGAUUCCUGGUGUAGCGGUGGAAUGCGUAGAGAUCCGGAAGAACACCGGUGGCGAAGGCGGCCUGCUGGGCUAUGGCUGACACUGAGGCGCGACAGCGUGGGGAGCAAACAGG